UUGAUACAGAGUGUAGGGUUGCCUCGGGUAUGACUAUUUACUGCCUUCGACAGUCACCAAUCUACUUUACCUCGGUGCUUCCCCAACUGAAGUGUUUUUAUCAUCACAUCAAAUCAAGAUUUUCGGUUACAGUUAUGCGACGGAUUGCUACCAUUCCAUGCUCAGGAUACACUCUAGAUCCAGAUCCAUCAGAUGUCAACUCGCUCCAACCAAAUAUAGUCAUUAAUCAAAGAAUAGCAGAA
rnacentral:lncRNA from 1 species